AGGUUUGUAGUUCAGUUGGUUAGAACACGGUCACUUAACAUGUUUGGGGGCCGUAUGUGGGUUCGAGUCCUACUAGACCCA